AGUGAACGCUGGCGGUAGGCCUAACACAUGCAAGUCGAACGGCAGCACAGUAAGAGCUUGCUCUUACGGGUGGCGAGUGGCGGACGGGUGAGGAAUACAUCGGAAUCUACUUUUUCGUGGGGGAUAACGUAGGGAAACUUACGCUAAUACCGCAUACGACCUACGGGUGAAAGCAGGGGAUCUUCGGACCUUGCGCGAUUGAAUGAGCCGAUGUCGGAUUAGCUAGUUGGCGGGGUAAAGGCCCACCAAGGCGACGAUCCGUAGCUGGUCUGAGAGGAUGGUCAGCCACACUGGAACUGAGACACGGUCCAGACUCCUACGGGAGGGAGCAGUGGGGAAUAUUGGACAAUGGGCGCAAGCAUGAUACAGCCAUACCGCGUGGGUGAAGAAGGCCUUCGGGUUGUAAAGCCCUUUUGUUGGGAAAGAAAAGCAGCAGGUUAAUACCCCGCUGUUCUGACGGUACCCAAAGAAUAAGCACCGGCUAACUUCGUG
rnacentral:rRNA from 1 species